rnacentral:rRNA from 1 species
AGAGUUUGAUUAUGGCUCAGGAUGAACGCUAGCGACAGGCUAACACAUGCAAGUCGAGGGCAGCAUAAAAGUAGCAAUACUUGGUGGCGACCGGCGCACGGGUGAGUAACGCGUAUGCAACCUACCUAUCAGAGGGGAAUAACCCGGCGAAAGUCGGACUAAUACCGCAUAAAACAGGGGCACCGCAUGGUGAUAUUUGUUAAAGAAAUUCGCUGAUAGAUGGGCAUGCGUUCCAUUAGGUAGUUGGUGAGGUAACGGCUCACCAAGCCGACGAUGGAUAGGGAACUGAGAGGUUGGUCCCCCACACUGGUACUGAGACACGGACCAGACUCCUACGGGAGGCAGCAGUGAGGAAUAUUGGUCAAUGGGCGGGAGCCUGAACCAGCCAAGUCGCGUGAAGGAAGAAGGAUCUAUGGUUCGUAAACUUCUUUUGCAGGGGAAUAAAGUGCAGGACGUGUCCUGUUUUGUAUGUACCCUGAGAAUAAGGAUCGGCUAACUCCGUGCCAGCCGCUGC